UCAAUGUUUGGUGGUUUAAAAAAAGAAAAGAAAAAAAAAACAUUAAAUUCUCCUAAAAACUCAAGAACAUGUUCAAAUCAUGUAUAUAUCAAUAAUGAAACUAAAGAUCAAAUGUUUCCUAAAGAAAAUAAAGGUUACUUUAGGACAGUUAAGAUUUUAAGCACAUUUCCUCCUAAAUUUUCACAAAAAUAAAUUAUGCUGAUUUUAACAUUUUAUUAUUAGAUUAUAGUAAUGCAAAUAGGAUUUUUAAUGCUUAAUUUCAAAUAAAAAAAGUCACAAUGCAUAAAAAAAUUCAACUCUGUUAUUACGGAGUUAAAGUCAUGUUAAAGUGUACACUGUUAGAAUGGAAGAAUAUUUCCGUGCAGCAACCAGCUCAGACCCUUUAGACUGCAACAGGAUUGAUCUUCCACUGUAGCUGUGGUGUUUAGUCCUGCAUGUUUUGGGUUGAUUUUGACAUCAUCAUUAUGCACCACAGAAAGACCUGUUUUGAUCUGUGUUUUAAAUACUGUCUACGUGAUGCGUGGGUUUCCCUUCCUUUAUCUUUUUUUUUUCUUCUCUGCAAGUGCACUUUUUUUGACUGUUUAUAUACUGUACCUAUAGAAUUGUAAAAUUUAUAGUAAUUUAAUGAUAUUAAAUGAGAGAAUAUUG